GAGUUCAAGAGUAGUUGUUGCAAGUACUGAAUCUUAUAUUUUUAACAAUAAGUGUAUACAAUAUAAACGAAACAAAAGGCCUAUAUUGAAGAUCAAGCAUUUUUUUGUUGAACUGAGCUUCUUUGUCUCUUGAUUGACAAAUGACAUGCCUGAGGAGAGACACGGGUCUGAAAAACUGGUUUCCAUUGUUUACAGAUACACCGGGUUGUCCUCGAAAAGAACAUAGAUGUUAUCGCCCGGGUAUAAUUUGUUCAGUGCUGUCUCCUUGAAAGGUGAUAAAAUUCACAGUUUGACCUUGGUGUCUUUGACUUGUCAGGCAAAACUGGAGUUUUGCAUCCGUGUUUACAUCUGCUUCAUUGAGGCAUAGCAAGGUUGUGCAUUUUUAAGUGAGCUGACCAUGUGUGAUAGCACAGCUGGCAUCCAUUUUGGGACUUAAAGAUUAAAACACUGACGAGGAAAUCAACUUCGGAAGUGUUGAAAGUUAAGUGAGCUCUUUGACCUUUCAACUUAUUUACUACAAUUUAAUGUUACUAAAAGCAACUACGUAAAUAUCACAAAAUAAUCAAUAAAACAGAAAGAAAGACUUAGCCGAUGAGGGCCUAGCUAAAUAAUGUAAAUAGUUGAAACAAUUACUGUAUAUACAGCACAAUUGUGCUAAUUUGUUUGUGUAUUGUACCUUUAAGACGGUGCCUCUGUGUCAUCCAAUCAGCGUGGUCCGAUUUUUUUUGCCGGAAAUGAGCGGGUGAAAUUGAAGUCACGCCACGAAAAUAUAAGCUUGUUUUAAAGUUUUUACAAAGAUUCGGUGAGUUAUUCGGUGAAACAAGAAAACAAGCUUGCAAGUCAAAUGAGAGUGCAGGUAGGAUGGGGAUCAUCGGCAUCUGGAGAGAAACGGCACAGAUUGUCGACAGUGGACGCAGCCUUUUUGCCCCUAUGCCGGCUCACUAUGGCCACCUUCCACCCCGCAUCCUCUCCAUUUUCCUCAUCCUGCUCCGUCCUCAGAAAGCAACGAUACUCUGGGAGGAAAGUGAGUCAAGUGACAAGGGGAGCGGGCGGACUGGGAUUUCAUCAGUCGAGCAUAUGUGUGUCAGUGUGUGCCGCCGGAAAGAGACGGGAUUGUGUUUUGUGUGCCUGCGCACGCGCCGUGUUGUGAUGGCACAUGAAUAUGAAAUCAAAGGCGAACGAUGACGAGCAAUUUGACUCCCGCUGCUGCAGCGAUUCAUAAUCCAGCUCUCGUAAACCAGUUUGCGGCGAGGCGCCAAUUUGUCACGUGGCACUGGUGAAGAGGGAGGGGGUACGCUCGUGUGUUUGUGUGUGUGUGUGUGUGGGGUCGGGCGGGGGGGGGGGGUGGUUUGCGAGGACUUGCAGCUCUUGUGCGUAAAUCAUUUCAUGCUCAUGCAUCAUGACAGCAAGCUGAAUCACCAGACGGGCACGUGGCCGCACAGUGCGAAGCCAAAAAUGUCUUUGCACAUUUCCCAUCCCCGGCGUCAUCGCGCGGUCCUACGUCACGCACGCCAGGAAUUCUGUCUGUCGUUAUCCUCCCGUCGCCACGGCGCAAAGACGUGUCAGGCCCGAGUGACACGUGCGAAAUUUCCGUGCCGUUUCCUGCUCAACACGUUUCCUGGGGCCGCAAGUGUUAAAUCUCAUCGACACAUCCGGCGGAAAACAGACGGUUGGAUUGGUUGAGAGCAUUUGUUGGAUGACAAAUGUGACAGUGGGGAUGCCAAAAAACCAGUUCGCCAAACUCGAGGCUUUUCAUAGACCUGUGAUCUGCUAAAAUCUUUACCUGCCUUAGCGAUUACAUUUUGGAUAAUAAUAAUCAGCAGUCGACCUUGGAUCGAUUUAACCCAAAACACAGUUUUCUGACCAAUAAUCAGCAAGUUUUUGUGAAAAGAGACACAACCAGAGAAGAAACCUAUUUUGCGCCAAAGUCACUGUUUUGCAGUGACUUUGACGCAAAUAGGUUUUUGCUUUCGUGACACGUCAAACUAUAAAAUCACAAAUUCAAGACUAAGAAAGGGGCUUUUGAUGGAAAACUAAUCAUUUAUGUACAUGUGGACCACCGCCUCGCCGCGUGGCUCGAGUUGAACGAAAGUGGCUUUUUUUUUUUAACAUGACGUUUGUCAUUCGCUCCGUGAUGAGUUGAUACCAUAA